UACAGAGGUCUCAAGCGUUGUUCGGAUUCAUUGGGCGUAAAGGGUGCGUAGGUGGCAGGGUAAGUCGGAUGUGAAAUCCCGGGGCUCAACCUCGGAACUGCAUUCGAUACUGCUUUGCUUGAGUGCUGGAGAGGAGAUUGGAAUUUACGGUGUAGCAGUGAAAUGCGUAGAUAUCGUAAGGAAGACCAGUGGCGAAGGCGGAUCUCUGGACAGUUACUGACACUGAGGCACGAAGGCCAGGGGAGCAAACGGG
rnacentral:rRNA from 1 species